AGGUGGACAAUCUAUCCGUCACAGGCGAUAGCCCGACUACCCAUCCGGUGUCCACGCUACACAUACACACGCACAGGCUUCUACGUACCGGUACGCCUUUCCUUUUUCGGCACUCAGUCUCAAUGUGGAAGGCGGUUUGUCGCAGAAAAGAUGCCGCGCUUGCAAUGCUUCCAGUCCGUUGUAGGCCACCAAUGUGUUGCCGUGCCCUCCUACGCACCCGGACAUCCUUCGUCUCUGGCGUCGUUUCGACGGCCUGCCCUGUGCUGGUGAUGUCGGCGCGGCGAUGGUGCGCGACACCGCCGCCACACGGCACCGGCUCCUCUGGUUCACAGUCCAUAGAUGAGGAGGCUGUCGUUCGCGCUGCCAAGUGGAGUUCGUCCAACUUCGAGGAGCGAUUGGGCUUCCGUGCCGGUGAGACUAUCACUGAGGAGCGUCUGAAGCGCCACUACCGCAUUCUUGCAAAGCACUACCACCCGGACACGUCUGCGGGAAGCGGCAGCAGCAACGGCGUAGGGUGUGAGGGGGAGACAAGCGCUGGCAGGGAUGGUGCCUUCCAGAGCAUAAAAGAGGCGUAUGAUGUGGUCAACGCUGCGGUGAAGCAAGGUGGUCGACGGGGCGGCAAUGCCUCGCGCGGGUUCUCCGCGGAAGACUUCGCUGGGGGCUUUGAGUUCUCUGACGAAGCGCGGCGUCGCUCUCAGAUGCGACUCCUUGGCGACGCGGUCCUGCUUUUCGUGUUCAUGACAGUGGCCUUUAUUGGAAUUGUGAGCAGCCACAACAAGUCACGCAUGCAGUCUCGUUAUCUUUGGCACCUGGUCGGGAUCUUCUUUAUAAUUCAACUCUUCCCACGCCUGUUUGCGGCGGCCAUCCUCUUCGCUGUGCAUUCGAUGCAUCUGCUCGAGAAAGCAACGCUGCAGGAGCAAGCGGCUAUCUCGCUCAUCGUGGAGCGGACUGAGAAUGCCUGCUCUGUGCAGCUGGACGGUCUGAGGACCGAGGCGCAGCCGAACGUUGUAGUCCAAGUGACAACGACAGCAGACGCCGACAACGAAGCUGCAGAGAGGGUUUCCUCGACACUCACCUUCGACAAGGGCGUCACAGCAUUUACGCUACCUGUGCCAGUCAAUUUGAGCUGUGUCUACCACGUCAAAGCAGUGGAUGAGGCACGCAAGAUAGUACUGGUGGAUCGGUCACUCUCGGCGAGGAUGCCGGCGACCGUCUAGCGCGCGGCAAAUCAGCCUCGAUCUUGCCUCUAUGGUUUUGUCAUGACCGUCUUUGCCCGCUGUCUCCACUAAAGCCAGAACGGUAAGUGCGAGCUGCUAGCGGAGACGCUUAUGGAGAGGGAAGGGUUUCCGGGAUAUGCGGCAUAUGGAGGAGCACACAUGAAUCUCGCUUUCGCUUGUCCUUGGGGCACCUGUGUCGCGGUGUUCGCAUCACGUUUCUGUGCUUUAAAGCGUCUUUUUUGUUGUUGUUGUUGUUGCGUGUGUGCGUGCGUGCAUAUGCGUGUCAUCACAGAGCCCACCGUCGCGUCUUUUUGUAAUGAUCAAGGUACCUGUAUGGCUAACCUCGCUGGCCCUCGGCCACCGCGCUGUUCUGUGUGGUGUGUGCAUAGGGUGGGAGUAGUCUUCACCAGCCACGGCAGAAUAUCCGAAUAGCUGGGAGGGAUGAGGAACACACAAGAAAACCCGAGAAGACUCGAAUGCUCUUCCUCCGCGAAGACGGGACGCUUCACCGGCACAGCUGAGGUCGUACGUUACCUCCUCCCUCUCCGUGGCCCUUUCGUCCUCUGGCUUACUGACAUCGACAGAGGCGCGCGCGAUGUGCAGCACGUUUAUGCCAUACGUCUUCUUGGCGCGGUUCCGCGGGCUAGGCUUCAUUGUUGUGUGUGAUUCUUCAUCUCCCGCCGCCGUCGCUGCUGCUGCUGCUGCUGCCCCCCACCCACUCCGACACCCGCCUAAAUCCCGCUUGCUCACCAUGGAUCUGCGCUGCACGCCAAGCAACCUUCCCCUUCUCCCUCUCCUGAGUGCUCAAG
rnacentral:misc_RNA from 1 species